rnacentral:rRNA from 1 species
UACGUAGGGUGCGAGCGUUGUCCGGAAUUAUUGGGCGUAAAGAGCUCGUAGGCGGUCCGUCACGUCGGGCGUGAAAAUCCAGGGCUCAACCCUGGACCUGCGUUCGAUACGGGCGGACUAGAGUGAUGUAGGGGAGACUGGAAUUCCUGGUGUAGCGGUGAAAUGCGCAGAUAUCAGGAGGAACACCGAUGGCGAAGGCAGGUCUCU